CUCUCCCCCCAUGUAUUUAUUACGUCUCUUAUCUUAUUUAUUAGUGAAUAAAAUCUUUUUUCUUCUCUCCCCUUUAUUAGGUAACAAAAUUAGAGAGUUGUGUCUCCUCUUUGGUCUUCUCUCCCAAAGCCCACAAUCUGCUCUAUGAGAGCUCCAAGAACUCCCUUUCUCUGUUAUUCUUUUGGCUCCAAGUAUGAAAGGACCUCAGGGCUUCAUAAUCCUCGAUCGAUUGAAGAAGUCUUUAACGAUUUCAGAUGAAGGCACGCUGGGACAAUCAAGGCUCUCACCACUGAUGUUGAGAAAUUCUUUCAAUAAUGUGAUCCUCGUGAGUUCUGUUUCUUCUAUGGGAUUGGCGGGGUUUUCGUUUUAAAAAAAUAAUAGCGACUACAGUAUCAAUUUGGUUCCUAAUGGGCAAAGUUUUUCUACUGAAUGCAUGUGAUUGCCUCUAGAUCUGUCUGAAAAAAGAUAUGGCUAAAAAGGGAUCAUUUCAGCAUUGGAUAUCUGUAACAAAAUGACCCCAAAUUGCUAAGUAAAGGAAUCUAUGAAAGAAAGAGUUGAGACUAUCAAGCAAACCAUUAAUACCAAGAAUUAAUAUGUUCUACAGGUCUUUCAAUCAUGUUCAAUUGAUCUUUUAUUUUUGUGAUAUGCUCUCUUACAUGAAAGCAUUACAUUUUUGUUUUUAUGAACCUUAUAAGAAAAUCAUUUUUGCUUACACAAUGAUGAAAUUGGUGAUUGUGAAGCUUCUGAAGUCCCGAUUUCUCUGGUUGUAACCAAGGCUAUAGAAAGAGCUUAAAAAGAAAGGAAGUCAAAGUCGUUCCCUCUUCAGAGACUCCAAGGUUGUUUUCAUCUACAUUCAAAGUUCCUUAACUAAAGAACCCAUCCUCGAUAGCUUAUAACUAAAUCUCUUAGAGAGAGAUAGAGAGACAUAUUACUAAAGAGAGUGCUCUCUCUUACCAUUGAUUGUCUAAAAAUAUGUUGUAAUUGUCUAUCAUUAUUUGAAAUUUAAUAGUCAUCUUAAAUUAC